CCCAUUUUCAGAAUGGCGGACCGGGCAGACACACAGGAAACAACACGUGGGUGCGGUGGCGCGGCACACAUUGCACGUGGAGUGCACGGUGGUCGCUUUAAUCCGUUAUUUUUGCAACUUUGUGGAUCAUCAAGACAACACGCAAGAAAUUGGUUUCUGAGGAAUUGCUGGCACAGUACAUAUACGUGAUGUGGAGAGGAAGUCACUAAGAGAACUUAACACCCAGAGUCGGUGAUGACAUCCGUAUUUUAUCUCCUUUUUGUUCUUCUCAAGAAGCGGGCUCAAGAGAGACUCAAGUUCCAGUGAGGACCCCAAGUGACAGCCACUCUGACAGUGAUGAGCAAGAACAGUGGAUGGAGAAAACAGCAGAUUUUGGAAGGCCUCAUUGCCAGGUGAAUGUACUGCCAUGGCUGCCUACAUGAACGUUGAGGCUGGCUAGCAUCGUGGUACGAGUGGACUGACCGAGGAUAUCUCCAAAGUGAAGAGGCAGGUUACGUCAUAAGUAGCACAGACCUCCUCAUAUGACAGCUGUCGGUAUGCCCCAGGAGAAGCAGACCAUAAUGCUGAUGAGAAGAGCGCCCUCGCCUCCUUCAACCUG